UCUCAUUGAUGAAACGAACAGAUGACGAGUCCGAUUUCACUUUUGAAAUCUUGACGACAAAAAGAGGCAUUUGUCUGAGAGGA